rnacentral:ncRNA from 1 species
AAGCUGUAUGAACAGAGAGGUUACCAGUCUCCUGGAAAAGGUUGAGAAGAUCCUACUCACCUGUACAACACAUGCAUAGUUAAGGUAUUACCUACUUUUGUGGCUUCUAACUACAAAAUUAA